GGGGCCAUAGCUCAGCUGGGAGAGCGCCUGCUCUCUUGCAAGCAGGAGGUCAGCGGUUCGAUCCCGCUUGGCUCCACCA
rnacentral:tRNA from 1 species